CCUUCUUCUUCCUCCUCUUCCACUCAAAUCUCCCGCCCAUCCCUUCCCUUCCAAAUCUCCUUAUUCCAAUCUCCCAGAUCCCCCAUUUUCGUACUCUGCCCCCACUUUAUUGUUUCUGUCGGUCAAAGUUUUGAUUUUGAUCAGCAGUUUUCGAUAAAGCGGAGAACUUUUGAAUUCAGCGAGGAAGAAGAAGAAGAGGAGUAGAUUGGUUGUACAGGUCGAAAUCCUUCAUCCAGAACUCCCUCCCUCAUGCCAAAGAAGAGAAAGGCUGCCAAGCGUAAGAAGACGGCCGUCGCCAUCGCCGAUCUUCCUGCUAAAGAUAAUGGCAAUCACGACGGCAGGGUGGCGCCUCUACCUGAGGAGAUCAAGGAGCAUGACGGUGGAUCUACCGCAUCUUCUUCCUCUGUGUCUUCUUCGUCCCCUCGAGAGCAUCAUUGUUCUCGACCUGCUGAAGAGUUCUCGCAAUCUGAACCCGUUGCCUGUGAUGGCUCAACGGAAGGAGCGGUCUUGGUCCAGAACAAUAAAGAAGAGGAGUCUUCUAUCGUUGUGAAGAAAGCAACAUUUAGUUCUACCACAGAGUCAUUUCCUAAAUCGAAGACUUACAUUGUCGAAGCUACUAAAUAUCAGAAGGAACAUGAGGAAUUUGUUGACGAAUCUGCUGUUCCGGUUGAAAAGAUUGUUGUUUUGGCUGAAGAGAAGAGGCAAGUUGAUGAGAUUGCUUUGGCUGAAGGCCAAGUGAAAGUAGUGCUGCUUCCUGAUGCAGAUGAGACUGCCAAACAACUCAAUGAGCAUCAUGGAGACCACUGUUGUGGUGGCAGAGAUGAGACUCUGCCAACACCAGCGGUGGUUGCUCUGCCUCCUCCGGUCGUCGUCGUUAGUCGUACAUCAUGGUGGAGUUGCUGUGGCUUGCUCGAUGUCUUUGCAGGUUCUGGGGAUCAAACGAGUUAAGUGCUUAGUUGGAAAAUAUUCUACCUUCUCAGUAGAAUGUCAACUUUUGAAGAAUUAGUCUUGUGUCAGAACUUGAUUGCUUGGUUUGAGAUAGCAAAAUAAUGAAUGGGUCCAAUGCUUUCAAAAUCCCGACGAGUAUUUGCUACCAGUCCCUGGGUUUUAUGCAACUCUUGUUGAAUUUCUUGUUUCGACGGUUUCGUACUCUUAAGCUCUGCGUUUGUUGUUCUAAUUAACCAAUUUGGAUGUGUAUAAUCUUCGGCUUCAUUAAUCUCCUUCCAUAACCAUGUUUUGGA